GGUCAUUGUGGCCAUCCACCUGUUUGACCGACAGAUUUUGUCGGCUACGUAAGAAUAAUUCCAUUUUCAGAGAUGUCGGUCAACAUAACGUGACCGGUGUCCACGUGGUCGCGAGCACGUGUACGAAACGCAAGACUAUUACAUAAGAAGCUGUGUAACUCAAGCUGAGCCGAAUCAGCAACAAACGCCCACGUCUCUUUGUUUCUACGUUCCUUUUCCUUAUGAAUUUUUCUCGACUUGCAGAAUAACACGAUUCCCUUAAAAAAGAAAAAAGUCCAAUCUCCAAGUCUUUAUCCAUAUUUUUCGAUAUUUCUAAAACGAGAAGAAUCAACUUUUAAGACAGAUCAUUUAUCGUUCAAUAUCGCGUUGAAAAUGCUCGACGAUUUUUUUUUUUUCUUUCAAGUUUUAUUGAUAAGACGAAAGGAAGGUUUCUUUUUUUUUUAUUUCGAAGAAAAAAACUAUAAAGGCAAUUUUCUCAGGAUACUCGCGAGAAAAUAUUACUCUAAGACAUUGCACAACGAGCUGUCGAUAUACGCGAAACGGGACCUCGCGUAAUGAAUCUUCAUUCCUAUAAAUAGGCAUGUAUCAAACCGUCCGGAUUCCUCGACACACUUAACGAGAUUCUCGCGCAAUUCUUUAACAUCGUACACUCCUCGUGACGACACUGUUUCUUUUUUUUUGCGGAAAAGAUGUUUUACGCUCUCUGGAAUUUUUUUCGAACUCUUCGCAACGCGGAAAAAUUCUCGGUUGAAGGAAAAGCGAUUCUACCCGUUCGCGGCCGAAGAAUCGUGAAUUCGAACGGAAGCAGGUGGCAAGUUGGCGUCGAAUGGCUCGACGCGGUACCGUUCAACGUACCACAUUUCUCCAGCGUUAAAGAGACGAAUCUCGGUUGACACACUGUUGGUCCAAAUAACGGGACGACGGGGUUACAUUGCAACGUUGCACGAAGCAACGUCCCGCCUCCGUUCGACAUCUCCCCACGAGAAUCCUCGUUGUGGAAUCUGUUGCAUAAUCGGACCAAUAUUGCCAGUGAAAUUUUACGCGUCGCGAGUUACAAGUUAACAACUUUUCUUACGCAACUCGAAUCGAUUUGUAACUCGAACCCGAAUAUAUCGCGUUACGCGAAACUAUAAUGCCGUGUAACGUAUAAUUAGGCAAUUAUAAUAUAAUAACGAGAGGAAGAUUAAUAAUAAUAAUAAAGUGAAUAAUGUUCUCGCGUUUAUCGUCGUGGUUAAUUAUCGUCGUUAAUACGACAUUAUAUAAUCAUUUCGCAAUGAUAAUUUUAAUCGGGAAGAAAAAGAAGUGGGGGGGGAAAAAAAAUAUGGAAAUCGACGAGAGUAAAAACGGAUACAAUAAUAUUUCCCCCAGAGGAAAUGAAAAAAUAUAUUAAAAUUCCCACGAUUAAGUAAUAUCUCGGAAAUUAAAUCGAAAUAAUUCUAUUUUGCUUCUUUAUCGAUAUCUCAAAAAAAAAAAAAAAUUAAAUCCGAGAGCUUCGUUUUAAUCACCGACAAUUAAUUAAUAAAUAAGAUGUUUCCAACGAUAUUUCGAUUUAAAAAAGAUGCCAAGUCGUUAUCUCGAGAUGGAAAUUUUAUUUCUUAGCUGUAUCUUUUCUGGAAGAUAAAAAUAAGAAAAAUUCCGCUUUUUAUUAAAAAAAAAUAAUAAUAAAUAAAAAGAAGCGAUUUUAAGAAACAA